AUAUUGAUUCAUACACAAUGAAUACUUCAACCGACGUGCACCAUAGAGUAACAUGAAAAUUACCUUCCGGAUCAAUUCAUACACAAAUAUAUACGUGUGUACAUAGAGAGAGAGAGAGAGAGAGAGAGAGAGAGAGAGAGAGAACCCACUUGGAUUCAAAUUCUUUGAUCUCAACAAGCUCUUUCCCCAAUUUGUCCAUCCAUUGGACUUUCUUCUUUGCAACCUCUUUCGGAGCACCCAAUUCAGUUGACAUCUUCCUGAUACAGCUCUUUCUGAAAUCAUUCUC